AAAAUCCACCGAGCCUUUGGUUUUCUUACUCCUCCAUCUUCGAUUUCUUGCUCUUGGGUUCUCCAAGCUAUGUAGGAGGCCGGCGGAGAGGAGUUCGAGGAAUCACGAGCUUUGGUGCCUAGAUCAUUUUACUCGUAUUUUCUACGCAACGUUUUAUCAAAAAACUAAUCACAUAGUAUAAUUUUAUUUUGUACUCUGAUUGGAACCCGGUCUAUUAAACGGGGGUAUCUUAAAUAAAGUUUAUUUCCUUCCGCUGUCUUACGAG